GAUGAACGCUGGCGGCGUGCUUAACGCAUGCAAGUCGAGCGAAGCACUUUACUUGGAUUUCUUCGGAAUGACGAGUAUUGUGACUGAGCGGCGGACGGGUGAGUAACGCGUGGGUAACCUGCCUCAUACAGGGGGAUAACAGUUAGAAAUGACUGCUAAUACCGCAUAAGACCACAGUACCGCAUGGUGCAGAGGUAAAAACUCCGGUGGUAUGAGAUGGACCCGCGUCUGAUUAGCUGGUUGGUGGGGUAACGGCCUACCAAGGCGACGAUCAGUAGCCGGCCUGAGAGGGCGACCGGCCACAUUGGGACUGAGACACGGCCCAAACUCCUACGGGAGGCAGCAGUGGGGAAUAUUGCACAAUGGGGGAAACCCUGAUGCAGCGACGCCGCGUGAAGGAAGAAGUAUUUCGGUAUGUAAACUUCUAUCAGCAGGGAAGAAAAUGACGGUACCUGACUAAGAAGCCCCGGCUAACUACGUGCCAGCAGCCGCAGUAACAC
rnacentral:rRNA from 1 species